CUUUACAUGCAGUGUCGUAGUUAGACAUGAAGAAAGACAUGAACUUCUGGGGAGUAUAUUUUCUAACGCCAAACGCGCGAGCCUUUCUAGCGAGGUCUAUAAAGUCAUGCUCACCCUUGGAAGAUUUCUAAAUCCCAUCUAAUCCCAAAAAGGUGAUUACGAUGACUUGGUAUAAGGGUUUGAUUAUAAAAUCUUUGAUUGGCUAAUCUAUAAUCUAAAACAAAUAUGGCGGAUUCAACUCUCGUCUUUCGUCUUUCAAAAAUUUUAAUUGACGAUAUAUUUUCUUACUUGGAACAACAGAAUGUUUUCUGUUAGGAUUGUAGAUGCAGAUUUUUACGUGGGAAAACCUAUAGAUGGCUUAGAUAUUUUGUUUUCUAAAUUUCGCGAGGCGAAUGUUAACCGUGUUCCUGUUUUGAGGAUAUUUGGCUCAACUCCUGGUGGACAGAAAACUUGUGUUCGUAUUCAUCAAGUAUUUCCUUACUUAUACAUACCUUACGAUGGAACUAAGACCACAGAUAAAUAUCUGAAACAAUUUACGACAAGUGUAGACUUUGCUGUUCAAGUUGCGUUUGGUAGAACAUCAUCUUCUAUGAAAUAUGUUCAUAAAACUGAAAUUGUUAAAAAAAUACCAUUUUAUGGUUAUCAUGAGGAUAAAGAAGAGUUUAUUAAGAUGGAGUUGUACAAUCCAAGAAUAAUUCCCAAACUUGUUGAUCUUCUUCAGAAUGGAGCUAUAUUGAACAAGUCAUUUCAACCACACGAAGCUCAUGUUCCUUAUAUUCUACAGUUUCUAAUUGAUUACAAUCUUUAUGGUAUGAACUUACUUCAUGUAAGAAAAGUUCAUUUUAGAGGAAUUUCUUCAAAAACAGAUAAAAAUCUUUCAUAUAAUAAUAAAUCAAUUCCACUUCAUGGUUCAUCUCCAAAUUCAUUUCUCAAUUUUCCUUCAUCUCAACACUGGAAUGAAGACACUAUUCCUAGAAAUUUAUGCCUGGAUCCUACUGUGAAAAAGUCAGUCGUUGUGAACUUGAAGUUGAUGUAAUUGCUGAAGACAUCUUGAAUCAAAUAAAUGUUGAAAGUUGUAUUGGUCAUAAUCCUGGUAUAACUGCUAUGUGGGAAGAUGAAAGACAACGAAGACGAGAUAUUGGACUAUCUUCACAAGUUGCUCUUCCUGUUUCACAAGAAUCAAAAUCAAAAUGUUUCCUGAUUUUACUGAAAAUACUGAAAAUAGCUAUGAUGCCAAAAACAGUACGUAACGGUUUACAAAACAACGCAAAUGCAAAAAUUGACAUUAAUAAUGU